UAAUAAGGGCAUCUGGUGGAUGCCUUGGCGUCAAGAGGCGAUGAAAGACGUGGCACUCUGCGAUAAGCUACGGUGAGCCGAGAGCAGGCUUUGACCCGUAGAUUUCUGAAUGGGGAAACCCCACCCAAUAGGGUGAUCAUGUUGUGAAUACAUAGCAGCAUGAGGCGAACCCGGUGAACUGAAACAUCUCAGUAACCGGAGGAAAGGACAUCAACCGAGACUUCGCUAGUAGCGGCGAGCGAACGCGAACCAGGCCAGUGGCUUAUGCAUAAGAACCGGAACGAUCUGGAAAGGUCGGCCAUAGUGGGUGAUAGCCCCGUACGGGUAGAAAAUGCAUAAGUCCUCGAGUAGGGCGGGACACGUGAAAUC
rnacentral:rRNA from 13 species